GGCACGUAGCGCAGCCUGGUAGCGCACCGUCAUGGGGUGUCGGGGGUCGGAGGUUCAAAUCCUCUCGUGCCGACCAA
rnacentral:tRNA from 3 species